UGGUUGACUCACACUUCCCAGGCAUUUCCCAGGCUGUCAACCACCCCCUGCCCUCUGGCCAUGCUUGCCGGGCAUCUCCAACCGUGCAGCAACCCCAACACGCGUGGCCAGGCACAGACCAAGGAGCCGGGAGCUGCACCACAUGUCACAGGGAUCAAAGCCUGAAAACCUGAUAAACAAGAUGACAUUCAUGAAAGGCCCCACUGAGUCUGGACCAGGUCCCAGGCGAUGAACCUGAGGACCCAGUGGGCUGCUUUGGGUCCCCACUCCCACAAACACCACAACCCACCCCCUUCGGGACGAGAGGCCAGCAACAGACAUGCCCUGCAGGGCAGGCAGCCAGCGGGAGUGAGCUCUGCGCAGACCUACUGCGUGCCCAGUAGCUCCCCACAGCUUCUCCGCUGCUCCCUGUCUGAUUUCAGCCCAAGUGGGAGGCCUGAGGCUGGCAAGGAGGCCAGGAGGCCUCUCCAGGGGUCUGGGCCGCCGGAACGACUGACCGUGUGAGCAGAAGUGUGGCAUUUGCCGAGUGCCGCCACGGUGCCAGGCCUGGCUCCAGGCGAAGCUUCCUGGGCACACACCGGCCUCACGCUCGUCCCUACACGGGGGCUGCGGGACCCCUGUCCUGACACAGAGGUGGUGCAGCUGGGCCAAGAGCAAAAGUCCAGGACCGUCAACCUGCAGCCGCUGGGCUGGAAGCAAGAAUGCAGCUCUUGCCCCUCUGUCAGGCCUCCCUUGGGCACUGCCAAGAGGAGGGCGCCCGUGCAGCUCUGAACGCCUGACCCACGUCCCACCCCAUGAAUUGGGAGCCCCUUCUGUAGAUGGCUGGGCUUUUCUGUGCAUCUGAAGAGUUCCCUCAGUCCCCACGUGGACCAGGGAGGCUCAGCCCUGGUCGUAGAGUGAACCCCGAAACCCACAUGUUUGUAGCAGGGUCUGUGGAGAGCUAAACAACAGAAUUUUAUGCUACAAGAUUUCCUGCUCACUUGUGUGUGCCAUCUGUAGUUCAGGAUUGUAACUGGCUCUCUAUUUUACACUAAAAUAUAAACGGAGUAGCAUGUGUAAUGAUGCCAAAAUCACUCACGGUCGAACCUUCGAAUCACAAGAAACCUGGCCACGAGAGCCACACAUGCAAAGCCCAGGAAAUCUUUUACUGUCUUUCCCAAGUUAAGAAACAAAUCCCUCAUUUCGCAGGAUUAGUUACAUUGUUAUUAUGCUUACUUGAGGACGGAACAGCAUUCUUACAGGAUGUUGAUGGAGGACAGAAUUUGGAUGAGUCCAAACUUACACAAAAACUUCUACAAUUUUGUACUGAAUUCUGUCAAACACAAACUUUAAAUCCCUACAGGGAUACAGGCAGGAGGGGCUCUCAAACAAGUGGGAUAAAAAUUCUGGUUCAAUAUAAGGGUCCACAUUGAUAAUACUCUUGGGAGGAGUGCUUACAGAAGGAGAAAAAUCCAGAAGACGCUGCCAGAGACGUUAGAAAUAGAGAAAUCAAACCCAUACAGACCCACAAUGACCCCAAAUGAGAAUUCCAGACACUGUGGCUGUGAUGGGGUGGGGCAGCUGGUCAUGGGGAGGAGGGGAGUGUGUAAAGAACGUGCCUAUGGUGGGGGAACAGGAAAGUGGUAACAAGUGUGAGAAAUCAGUGGGGCUGUGUGAACAUGGGUGUGAGUGAGUGAAAUUAUCCCAGGGUAAAAGUAGAAUAUGUA